GAAAUGCGAUACUUGGUGUGAAUUGCAGAAUCCCGUGAACCAUCGAGUCUUUGAACGACCCAACAAACGAAGCGCACGUCGCUUCGACCGCGACCCCAGGUCAGGCGGGACUACCCGCUGAGUUUAA
rnacentral:misc_RNA from 1 species